rnacentral:tRNA from 1 species
CGACGUUUAACUCAAUGGUAGAGUGUUGUGCUUACGCCACAAAAGUUGAAAGUUCAAGUCUUUCAGCGUCGA